ensembl:lncRNA
AUGCACAACAUGGCCAUCCCUGAGGUGGCAAGAGAAGUACUCGCACCAGCCUGGCAGAUGGUACGCGACAGCGGCACACAGGAGGCGCAGACGCAGCACUGGGAGGAUCCAAGGCAUCAGAGGAAGAAGCCGCUGAGGAAAAGUUCUAGAAGCACAAAGGACAUUGAGCACCUAGAGAAGCUCAGGUUGGGAACACAAACACUGAUAAACCCAACACCUGCAGUUAUCCUGACAGUCUCAGCUACAGCCUGUGGUUCUGCUGAAGACACUUCUCGGGGUCCACAUGUACAGUGCAUGUUAUUGUUGUCCUUUACAUGUGUUUGUUGUCUGACUUCCUGUAAACUCACUGAGGCCUGAGCAUGUUGUUUGGUGUUCACAGAUCAAGGUGUAUGUGCGGCCACAUGGCUGCACUGUGCCCUAUGCAAUGUUUAUGUUGCAUUCUGAUAUCUCCAACAUGCCCCCAUUUCAGCAUUUAAAUGUGAAACUACAGCAAGAGGAAGCUUCUUGGGAUUUUGUUGCCUCAGGAACCCAGUCAUAAAAUUAUAAUCCAUAAAACCAAUCAAUGAAUGACUGACAACUGUCUGUCAACAAUUUUGACACGACAAAUAAUCUUGAAUCAUAUCGAGAAGAGGGAAAUUAGUACUAUUUUUACUAUUAUUAUCUUCAACUGUUCUCCCAAAUCUUCAUCAGAUUUCUGAAUAGCUGUCAAUGCCAAUUAUGCUGGCCACUGUCUUUUUGACCGGACAUCAUCUUCAUUUUAUUCCCAUGGGCACCACAGCAAGUUACAUGCUAUGAUCCUGACAAACAUCCUGCCCUGGCUGCCAGCACAAACCUGGUACCUGAGUCUUCUCCUUGUUGCAUCGGUGUACACAGAGCAACUCUUUGCGAUAUUUUAAUUUGCCAAUAUUUUGUGACAGUGUAGUUGUUCUUACUAUGCAGUUAAAAGAGAAAUCAGGAGCCUUUCAAAAGGUGAAAUAUUUUGAGUGGAUGAAAAUCAUACCUUUAAGAGACAUGUACUUACAAAUGCAAGUCCUGCUCAUGCCCUGUUGAAAAUUAGGAAGGACAGCAGACACAUUGUGAUAGCCAUAGGAGGGACCUGGUAUGUGUUUCUAUGUGCUUUUCUUUCUGUAAUAGUGAUAAUAUUUAUACAAUCAGGAAGAAUAGUUAAGAGGAGAAAGCUUGGGAAAAAAAUAACACUUCAGUGGAAAGGUAUUUCCACUUGCAGCAGACAUAGUUAAUGUUUUAUUGAUAACGUGAUCUUGCUACCUGCUAUACAUAACCUUUGCUUCAUUUCCUUCUCAUGCUGCAAGAAGUCUAUCAUUCACCUUUUUCUUUAAGCCUACAUCUGUCUUACACAGUAUUCUCAGUACAUUGCACUGUAACAGCAUCAUCUCUCAUAUUAAUAAGUUGACAGCUAAAUGCCUGCUCUUCAAGCCCUCUCAGUGGGUAGAGGGCUGCCACAAAAUUCUGGAGGUACAUGAACAUCUGAGACUCUUGAGCUAGGAAGGAAGAAUUGCUGAUAAGCUGCAAAAGCAAUCAAUUUGUUCUGUUCCCUUCGCCCCUUCCUUACCCAAGUGAAAGAACGAAGGUGCAGGCUGAACAGUAAGGGUGACAGAAAUAUUUGUGUACAAAGCAAAGUCACGCUUCUUUCCAAAGUUGCUAGGAUGGAUAUCUAAAUGCCAAUGAAAUAGUAGGUUCAGCACCUACAGUAAGUUGGCAUCUAUUCAAUUAGCAUAAACUUCACUUCUGUGCAAAGACCUAUGCACUAUUUCAGUAUCCCUUGGCUUCACUACUGGCCCUUUUCAUGGGAAUAAAUGUGUCCCUCAGUACA